AGAGUUUGAUCCUGGCUCAGAAUGAACGUUGGCGGCGUGGAUUAGGCAUGCAAGUCGUACGGGCCGCAAGGCCAGUGGCGCAAGGGUGAGUAAGGCGACGGCAACCAACCCCAUGGUCGGGCAUAGCCGCGGGAAACUGCGGGUAAUUCCCGGCGACGUGGCGGGGGGGCAUCCCCCGGCCACCACAGGUGCGAUUCCGCCGUGGGACGGGCCGUCGUGGUAUUAGCUAGUUGGCGGGGUAACGGCCCACCAAGGCUGCGAUGCCUACCGGGCGUGCGAGCGUGGCCCGGCACACUGGGACUGAGACACUGCCCAGACUCCUACGGGAGGCUGCAGUCGAGAAUCUUCGGCAAUGGGCGCAAGCCUGACCGAGCGACGCCGCGUGGGGGACGAAGGCCUUCGGGUUGUAAACCCCUGUCGAGGGGGAGGAAGGCGGCGCGCAAAGCGUCACUUGACCGAUCCCUGAAGGAAGCACGGGCUAAGUUCGUGCCAGCAGCCGCGGAAAGACGAACCGUGCGAACGUUAUUCGGAAUCACUGGGCUUAAAGCGCGUGUAG
rnacentral:rRNA from 1 species